rnacentral:rRNA from 1 species
AGAGUUUGAUCAUGGCUCAGGAUGAACGCUAGCGGCAGGCUUAACACAUGCAAGUCGAGGGGGCAUCACGAGUAGCAAUACUUGGUGGCGACCGGCGCAAGGGUGCGUAACGCGUGAGCAACAUGCCCGUAUCAGGGGGAUAAUCCAGGGAAACUUGGUCUAAUACCCCAUAGCAAUUGAAGGAGGCAUCUUCUUUGAUUUAAAGCUUUGGUGGAUACGGAUUGGCUCGCGUGACAUUAGCUAGAUGGUAAGGUAACGGCUUACCAUGGCUACGAUGUCUAGGGGUUCUGAGAGGAAGGUCCCCCACACUGGAACUGAGACACGGUCCAGACUCCUACGGGAGGCAGCAGUGAGGAAUAUUGGACAAUGGAUGGAAAUCUGAUCCAGCCAUGCCGCGUGCAGGAAGACGGCCCUAUGGGUUGUAAACUGCUUUUAUAUGGGAGCAAUAAGACCUACGUGUAGGUCGAUGAGAGUACCAUAUGAAUAAGCACCGGCUAACUCCGUGCCAGCAGCCGCGGUAAUACGGAGGGUGCAAGCGUUAUCCGGAUUUAUUGGGUUUAAAGGGUGCGUAGGCGGUUUGAUAAGUCAGCGGUGAAAUAUUUCAGCUUAACUGGAAGGGUGCCGUUGAUACUGUCGAGCUUGAAUUUAGUUGCUGUGGGUGGAAUGUGUGGUGUAGCGGUGAAAUGCAUAGAUAUCACACAGAAUAUCGAUUGCGAAGGCAGCUCACAAAGCUAAUAUUGACGCUGAUGCACGAAAGUGUGGGGAUCAAACAGGAUUAGAUACCCUGGUAGUCCACACUGUAAACGAUGAUAACUCGCUGUCGGCGAUACACAGUCGGUGGCCAAGCGAAAGCGAUAAGUUAUCCACCUGGGGAGUACGACCGCAAGGUUGAAACUCAAAGGAAUUGACGG